GUAACCGUUAAGAUGUAACGUUAACUACUAAUAGUCCUUUUUUUAAAUGUAUAUGUCUCUUAAUGUAAAAUUUUAAUUUCCACAUUUCAAAACAAAAUGAAAAACUAGGCCACCCUCCAUACACCCUAAUUCACGAACACAAAGAUGUAAAGUUCACCGGGCCGUAUCCAUAUUAUCUCGCUCAGCUAUGGAUCACUACAGAAAUUUAUAUACUAUAGUUGCGUUGGAUGCCUUAUUCCUUAUCGUAUACCUAUGCGCCCUCCAUACUAAUCGCUUAAUGGAUUUUCUGCUUCCAUGGAAGUUAUUAUCAAUCAAACAGGUGGCUUUUGAGGCUUUGGAGGUACCACCGUCCUAGAGGGUUCCUGUAUUUCAAAAUGAGAGUGUUGCAGUUUCCUACGAAUUUUCGGAUAAGCAUCUAAAAUUUUGGCCUAACCGGGAUUUCAAAUCAGUAAGAAAGGCAUUAAGGGUCUUAGUAUCUCUUAAAUUACAUUGAGCAAGCUUUGGUCGACAUUUAAAAAAGUUUUUGUAUAGAAGCAUACAUUUUUGAGUUUAAAAUCUCCAAGCAAUUGAUAAAUGUAAAAAACGACUAGGCCAUUGUACGUCUUGUAUAAGAGAUGAUAAAUCCCUUAAAUCUCCAAAGUAAAGAUUAAGAAAAUGCUUGUAUAUGGCUGUAGAUUUCCUAAAUUCCAAAUUUACAGAUGAUGGUAAUUUUUCUAUUAAUCUUGAAUGGUAGCUGGCAUUAUCCAUAACAAUAAUUGAAUUUUCGGGAAUUGACUUGAUCAUUUCGGAAAAAUAAUCUUCAAAAACAUCAGCGUUCAUUUCUUCGUGGUAAUCCUUAGUUGACUUCGAUUCGAAUUCAAACAGACCGGCAUUUAAAAAUCCUUUAUAGCUCCCAAUAUGUGUAAUUAUGAAUCUGUGGCCCUUACCAGAAGGAGACUUCAAGCCAGUCGAUAAACCUUCUAAAAAAGCCUGACGGGAGCUUCCAAGAUUUUUAUCCUGCCACCACUUGCUCACGGUGUGUAUUUCGUUAAGCCAGGUUGCAUCCAAAUAAUAAAUGUUUCUUCCUUCCUUUCGAUACUGCUUAAUUUGCCUUAAAUACUUUGUUCUCUAACAGGCUAUUUCUUCUUUAUCUAUUAAAAUAGAUUUUCUAUUUUGCUUUUGCCAAGAAAAAUGUAAUUCGUGUAAAAUUUUCCAUAAUUUUUUUCUUCCCAUUUCUGGUACAUUUUCGUCUUCUUUUAUAAGUGUCAAAAUUUUGUCGAUAGUUGGGAUUUCAUUCUUAAAAUAAAAUGAAUGUACUGUCCUCUUGAUGAUAUGCUUUGCUGUC